GACGAACGCUGGCGGCGUGCCUCAAACAUGCAAGUCGAGCGGACGGAGACCGAACCGCAAGGGGAGGUUGAAGUUAGCGGCGAACGGGUGAGUAACACGUGGGUAACCUACCCUAAAGUCUGGGACAACGGCCCGAAAGGGCCGCUAAUACCGGAUAAUGUCUUCGGGUCGCAUGGCCUGGGGAAGAAAGCCGAAAGGCGCUUAUGGAUGGGCUCGCGUCCCAUCAGCUAGUUGGUAAGGUAACGGCUUACCAAGGCGACGACGGGUAGCCGGUCUGAGAGGAUGGUCGGCCACACUGGGACUGAGAUACGGCCCAGACUCCUACGGGAGGCAGCAGUUGGGAAUAUUGGGCAAUGGGCGAAAGCCUGACCCAGCGACGCCGCGUGAGGGAAGAAGGCCUUCGGGUCGGUAAACCUCUGUCAUCGGGGACGAAGAAAGUGACGGUACCCGAGGAGGAAGCCCCUGCUAACUACGUG
rnacentral:rRNA from 1 species